rnacentral:lncRNA from 1 species
GUGUGUUCUGGAUCGAGCUCAGGGGCGACCAAGAAGGGUCAAGCCCUAAUCAACACAAUUUCAUCAAAUUGAAGGGGCAAAUCAAGUCCAAAUCAAAAUCCGAGUAUGAAUUAGUGAUCUCCAUUGAAAAAGGAGUCAUGAGUUUGACUCUGACAAGCUAGGUAGGAGCUUGGAAAUGAACGGGUCAAAUGGAUAGAAUUCAAGUAUGAAGCUCGCAAGGAUGCAAGGUAAGUAUAACUUACACUAGUCAUAUAUUUUAGAAUGUUCUUUUGUCGUAUUGACUACGAAUAAGACAAAUGGUAAUUUAGUCACACGUUGACAAUAAUCGUUAGUUUUAAAAGACGCUUUCCCGCGUAAGACAUAAAGAGCCGAAAGUGGUAAUAAACGGUUUAUAAAUAAAAUGAGCAUACGGUGUUAAAAGGAGCGAGUCAUGUAGAUGAGAUGAUAAUAAAUAUUAUCUCGCAAAGAUAAACGGUCAAUUCGGCCAAACGGGUCAAAAAGUGUAGACAUCACCUUUUGACUAUAUAGACUAAUGAUUCUUUUGUCGAGUCAUAUGCUUACAGGAAUAGAUAUCCAAUGGAUAUUCGCAUCGUUCUUAAUUAGCGAAUAUAAAGCAAGGUAUUAAAAUCGGGUCUAUUUGUUGAUCCGAGCCAGGUACGCUUAUUUAUGAUGUAUGUAAAAGUGCUAAUUUGGUCGAAUAAUUGGUGAUAGCCCUUCAUUGUAAAAGAAGGACCAAAAUCGACCAAAACACCCUUGUAGGCUAAAUUGAACAAACAACUCUUAGAGGUUGUUUGGAAAGGAGUCUUAUGAUUAAACAAAAGUUUAGAACGAGUACGGGUAGGGAAAGAUGUAAUUCUUAGGCCAAAAGACUCCAUAUGAGUCUUUGCCGUAAAAUGAUAUUUCAAGAGGUAUAAAUUCGGAACACAUAGAUAUCUACUUUGAAUCCGACACACAUUUAGUUGUGAUGGAAGAGUACUAGAUAAGAGCUAUAGGUUACAACGCUGGAUUAGAAUGAAAGCGAAAUUGAGCUUAAAAGUGCUUAAAAUAUCCUUAACGGGUCAAAAUAAGCAUACUAGUGAAAACGGGUUUAAUUUGUGAAUAAACCUAUGAUUAGAACCUAAUAUGGUAUAUCACAAUGAGUUGAUGAAGUGUAUGAAAUAUAGGAAUCAAAUAAAUACGUUUGUUUGAUAAAACGCAUAACCGGGUCAAAAUUUGGUAUAAAGGGUAAUAAGCCGAAGACUUAGAAGUCUUAAAUUUUGUUAAGCCGAAUGUCGGAUUUUAACUACAAAUGAUGGAGAAGCGAAUUACAAACAUGUAGGAAGAAACGGUAGGCCAAACGGACAAGCAGUUUGAAAGAUACGGAAGAUUUCGUGUCAAAUUACGGCAAAAAUGGAAAACUGGAUGCAGGGUCCACCGUAAAUUACGGUGCCACCGUAAUUUACGGUGGAGAUGAAAAGCCUUACGGUGGCCCCCUACUGGUUUACGGUAGGGGUAUGUAAAACCAGUGGCCACCGUAAAUUACGGUGCCACCGUAAUUUACGGUGGAGGUCAGGUUGAAAUUUUUGUUUUUGUUAUCAAUUGUUUCUCGGACUCGUUUAGACACGUUUUAAGUCCUGUAUGACUAAAGCAUUUCAUGUUUAUGAAAUGUAGGUACACCUUGGAUGCCGGAAGACGAUCAAGCUCAACGAAGGACCGAACACGAUAUAGAUACACGCUUCGGCACAUUGCCACGUUGUAAAUUUUAACAACGAACUCAAUUACGUUUGUUGGAUAACUUAUGAUUUGUAAAAGAUUUAAUAAACCCGCAUUUUGUACAGUAUGUGUGGUCUUAACUACACAUCUAAUUGUGGUAUUUUCAUGUAAAAUUGUAAUUUAGUAACUAGCGUGUUACAAGUUGGUAAUCAGAGCUCAUGGUUAAAGAGUAAGGUGUGUUCGGUUCGAGGCUUGAUCGCAAAUCCGGUAAGUGCAUGUAUGCUAAUGGUCUAGCGUAUUAAAGUGUUGUAGACAACACAUAGGGUUACCGUGUAAAACACGUUACCCCAAUUAAAUGAUUGAUAUAGUUGACAAAAAUACGCGCGUUGACGUGUAUAGUAGAAAAAGCCUUGUACUAUAAUACAGGCGAUUAUUGAAGUUGAUAUUACUAACUUUUGUGAAUAUCUUGAUUGAUGGACACUUGCAUUUAAAGAUGACAAGAGUUGAACAAAUUAAGGAUAUGAUAGAGGAACGGUCCGAAGUAUGACGAUAGGAGCAUGCUCACUAAGGACUAAAUCGCGUAACGACCGCGAACAAGGUUAAUGGCAAGAAACGCCCGUCGGGGCAAGCAUUACCAGGUGCGUGUUUUUAAAUAUAAUCGCACAAAUAGCAAUAUGCAACAAACGAGUAGAAAUUGAAAGUUGCAUAUGUAGAUUAAAAACUUGGAAAAACCCGAAUAGAAAAUGUAUUCGGGAUAUUGUUUCCAAGAGAAACAAAUAGAGGCGUUACUUACAUAGGGCGUGAUGUGAAAACUAUAAAAAGGUCAUGUGUGUCAUAUGUUAAUCGCUUACUCUGGCCAAGUAAGUAGUGGCUUAUGAUACCAUGAACUUCUUAUGGCGGACACGUUUACAUCCGAUGUAGUAAGGGCAGGGUGAAUGGGACUAAUUAAAAAGUACCCAAAUGAAUCAGAUAAGCAAAAUAUUUGAUAAUAAUGUAAAUGCACAACCAAGUGACGGGAGCGUAUUACAUUAGGAUAAUGAGCCCGGGUGAAGGGACAAACAAGCAUGUAAAAUGAUUUAGACAAGUAUUGGGAGGGAGUGUACUUACACUCGAACCCAGAAAACACAAGCAUGUAAAAUGAUUUAGACGAGUAUUGGGAAGGAGUGUACUUACACUCGAACCCAGAAAACACAAGCAUGUAAAAUGAUUUAGACGAGUAUUGGGAAGGAGUGUACUUACACUCGAACCCAUAAAACACAAGCAUGUAAAAUGAUUUAGACAAGUAUUGGGAGGGAGUGUACUUACACUCGAACCCAGAAAACACAAGCAUGUAAAAUGAUUUAGACAAGUAUUGGGAGGGAGUGUACUUACACUCGAACCCAGAAAACGCAAACAUGAAAAAUGAUUUAGACAAGCAAUGGGAGGGAGUGUACUUGCACUCGAACCCGGAAAAUGCAAAUAUGUCCCUUAACGGGUCAUUUUUGUAAAACGUCGAACUUAAAGACAAAGUCAGAAUAUAAAAAUGAAGCGAGGUCUUAAUGCAUACCGGGAGGAUUGCAAUAAUAACGACUUUGGUAAAACACCCGGUUGAUGGGUAAGAAUUAAACACAUGCGUAAACCGAGAAACGAGAACAUGAAUUUAAAGUCAAAAGACUCGGAUUAUGAGUUAUGACUAAAAGACCAUAAAAAUUUCGUAAACAGAAAUUCUGAUCAUUAUAUUCAACUAUUUUGAGAUUGAACGGGUUGAAUAAAGUAUAAUGCUUGAAGGCGUAAGUAAGCGCAAGCCGGAUAACGGUAAGCUUGAGACAAAUGAGUUUCAAACGUAAAAAGAGUGCUUUGACACCAAAUAUAUAUUUUAAUAAGACACGAGUAAAAAGAGUGAUCUACGGGAUCAACAUAACCUUUAGGGUUA